GGACCGUUGUCAUCAGAGGUCAUCUCAUCAAAAGCGAAAAUUUUACAAGACAAAGAAAAUGGAAUUGAUACGUGUUGCCUUUCAAAAAAGUCCUUGGCACGUCGACGCGAUUGAGACUCUUGGUUUCUAACAACUAUAAGUGCUGCACAACCUGCUGGACCACAGCAAGAAAAGUUUCAAUGUCAGAUUCUGCGGCCGAGCAAGGCCAGAAUGAAUACUUAAUUAUCUUCCAGAGCUUGUAUCAUAUAGUGAGUGAGAGGAUCAUCUACAGAAAAAAAUGUGGAACAAAGGAACACGAUCGGUUCUGUCCGUCUAAUGUUUGAAGGCCACUUGUGUGUUUUCAUGAAGAUGCGAUUAAUGCAAGAAACUGCAGAGAUAAUAUCGUUCCUUUGCAAAGACUGCAAUAAAUAAAUUUACUUCGAACCAGUUUAUUAAGGUUAUGUAUACUCUAACGUCACGAUUUAUUAUUUUGAUUAACAAAAUUAAAAAAAGGAAAUUGAACAUAAAUUCAACUUGUUGAUGAAAGGUUGUUUAGAAAAAAUAUUAAUCAAAAUCUCUAGAAAAAUAAAAAUUAAA